rnacentral:lncRNA from 1 species
GAGGCACCCAAGUGGGUCAACUGAGUUCCAUGGACGUUCCUCCCUGCUCCCAUCGUGUAACAGCAGCUCUGCCUGCUCCUGCUGAUCAAGGUCAAUUACCCAUGACAAGAAGUGGUUCCUCUUCUUGCCUGCUGGUUCCUGGCCGCACAGAACCCGGAGUGUCCAAGUGGCAGCUGUAGCUUAUAGUUCAAUGGGAUUUUUGCCAUCCUCUGCCAAGAACACACUCUUUCUGGGGACCAGGACCUCUAACCCUGCAGAAUCCAGAGCUGUGGGGACCCCUAGUGAGUCACUGAAAGUGAUGGCAUCCCUCUUUUAAGAAGCCUGACCCUAAAACAAAUGACCUUUGCCACCACCUCUUAAUAGAUGGUUCAACUGAUUUUGCAGGAACGACACCAAUAAGACUCUUCAGGAUACAAUUUCUUAGACUGCUUCAACCAAUCAGGAGAUUUCUGAUCCCUUUGAGUCAUUCAGUCGCAAAUGAUAUGAUUCAUCUUGAACAAAAUGGGGGACAGACAAUGUUUAAUUUUACCUAAACCCAGUGAUUCUGGAAAACAAGUUAAAGUUAAGAAAUUCCCCCUCUCUGUGUCCUGGAAAUCGACUUAUUGCUAAGAACCACCCUUUCCCAUAUGGCUUAGAUAAAAUUCAUGGAUGCCCCCCUUAUUUACCUAUAAUAAGGCCGGACAUAGACCCUCCAAAUUUCCAUUCUCUGUCUCAUAAAAGACUAGCUGAACUGCUUGUGCCCAUGGAAUUGGAAAGAAAGUGCUCAUUAAUCCAACUUAGGUUAAAUUUCUCUCUUCUUCUAGGCCCCUAAACUUUCACCCACCCUCAGUCUGAGACAGCAUUUGCCCCAUUUAAGGGCCCUGCUGAAAAUAGGUUGACCCCAGGGCAAAAUAUCCUUGAUCUGCUAUCCAAUCAUUCCACUCCACCCUUUCAUCCCACUUCUCCUUGUUUACUCCUCCCUGUAAGAAAAACCCUUUUUGCCCAACCUCUGAGAUCCUACAGAUCCUAUUGUCAGAGAGUUCUCCCUAUAGCAGCAGCCCCUUCCCUCCUCCCACCUUGCAUUAAUCCUUUGGAACAAAGUCUCUCCUUGCCUAAAUCUGGAUUUGUUUUUUGACACCAUAUAACUGUUUUAUUCACUUUAAAGCAGGUUAAACACAUAAUAUUUUAGUGAGGACUUUUAA